UUCUACCUUGACCCCUUUCGGUUCCCCACUCUCGCGGAUGAGCAUCGCUUUCCGGGGAGAGAGGUUGCAAGGAAGCUUGCAACGAUGCGAGGAAGAGCCGCCUUCUUCUGCGUGGCGCGCCCCCGCCCUCUUCUUGCUCGCUGGAAUUGUUCGUCGUUCUCCGCCUCUUCCCCUCAGGAUCUCUCGACGGUGGCCGCGUGCCCCUAUUGUGGCUGUUGGAACUCGAUAACGAAGCAGAUUUUCUCCUCAUGCCCUUCUCAGUUACUUCUCUCCUUUGCAAGAAUCUUUCUCACCCCAAAAACCGAGGCAAGAAUCACUUCUCACCCCAAAACCCUUGCAAGAAUCCUCUCUCACCUUGAAAACCGAAUCUCUUCUCACCGCCGAAAUCCUAGCAAGAACUCCUUCCCUUCCCAGAUCUCUUCCAAACGCCUAUCUAGAAUCCCUUCCUUCCCUUCUUAGGUCACUCGCUCCAUGGAAAUAAAGCAAGAGCGUUCUUCCUAUACUCUCUGAUCGGCGUCCCCGUUCUUGUCACGCAGGAACCCAGCCGAGGUGGUCGCUUGCCCUGAUCGAAUGAACGGCUGUGUCUUUGAUCCGUUUCCAAGCUUUUGAAUUUGCCACAGCAUCACAUUGUGAGACAGUAGUAUGGAUGGCCAAGUUUAGGCUUAGGACAUUGGCUUUAUGGAGGGAGAAAUUGAAGAGAGUUUUAUGGAAACCAAGAAUGAGGUACUCUUUACAAAUGUUUUCUGUGUAGGGAUAAUCACGGUUAUGCAUGCUCGUCACCUUUAGAUCAAGAUUCUGGAUGUUUAGACUAAUUGUUUUUAAAGAAAGGUUAUUAUGUCUGUUAUUUGGUAUUAAGCUUCUUAGUAUAGGAGAAGUAUAUUUUGUCAUUAUUUAAACAUAUUUCAUUGUAGUGAUGCACUUUAUUCCAUUAUUCUCUUUAUAUUUUUUCCUGUAUGUGGUUGUUUUAUAUCGCCUAUUGAUUCUCAUUGAUGGAUGUCUGACAUAAAAAAUUCAACUUAAUGCUGAUUAUGAUCAAAAUUAUUUAUACUCUUCAUGACAUUUUAGAUUCUACAGUAUGCUAUUUAUCGCAUUAUGCUAUUUGAGAUUCUGCAUUAUGCAUUUAUCAAAAUUUUACUAUCUAUUUGUCUCAUUAUGCUACACUUGAAUUUCUAUUAAGACAUUCAGACGUCUUCAUUUCAACUACUAUCGAACCUUUGUUUAAUAGGAGACUUCUCCGAUGGUUAUAGUGUUAUUAAGCCCUUCUCAUUACUUGAUGAAGUAUUCUUUCAUUUUACUCUGUUUUAAAAUAUUUAUCCUAAAUUCUCAUAUUUACUUGCUUGUGCGCUUAAAAGUUUUGUAUAGGACAGUGAUUUAAAAAGCGUUGUGCGCCAAGGUCCCAAAAUGCUCAAGACACUAGGUGCUCGCCUAAACGCUCAGCUCGAGCAAAGCGAGGCACUCUAAAAUAUUAAAAUAUAAAAAAAAUAUAAUAUAAUUGAUAAAUAUGAUUAUAUAAAUAAAAAUACGAUAUUAAACUAUUGUUAACAGUAGUUGGAGGGGAAGAAAAGAACUGUUAAGAGGGGGAGAAAAAGUUAUCGAUAGUGGAACUUUCGGACGACAAUUGUUGCGGUGGAGGAAGCUGCAGAUGGCGGUAGCGGUAGCGACGAAAGUUGUGGAUGGCAAUAGCGACAACGGUAGAAGCUAUAGAUGAUGACAUCGUGGGCGGAGGAAGCUUCAAAGGUGUGCGUCCGUUGGUGGUGGAGGAAGCUACGGUCCUCUCCCUCAAUGAUUGAAGGAGCUGCACACGGAAGCAGCGGUAGCAGAACGAAGUUACGGGGGAAGGCUAGGCUGUCAAACCUGUCUAUUGGCGACAAAGGAAGCCUCGGUCCGUUGCAUCUAUGGCAAACAGACGUAAAACUUUGUUUCAGUUACUUUAUUUAAAUCAGGCGCUUGCUUGAGACACUCAAUGCCUAGGUUCAGGCGAGCGCUCAGGUCACACCUCACUGAAGCACGACGCUUGGUCCACCUUGAGGCAGUUAGGCCUUACCUUGCCCAAGCACCUAGGCGAGCGCUCGUCUAUUUAACCCAUUGGUAUAGGAGAGAUUCAAAUUUGUGAUAUUUUGUAAUCUUGUCUGCAUUAUUACUUAUUCUGGCAAUAGCUGGUAUUAUAGCCAACUUGUGAUUUUUUUUUGGCCAAAUGGAUGGGUACAGUUAGACACAGUCUUCUUACAUAAUAUAUUCAAUUUUUUUUUUUAAUGUCAACUUUCUUAUUGUUCUUGAGUACUACCUUGGGCUUUAAGUUUGAUCUUGCACAAGUGGCACUGUUAAUUCGACUAGUUCUAUGCAUAAAAAUACAUUUUGAUCACCUUUGUUAGACUUGGAUUUUAGUCUAAACUUGGUUGAUAAUAAAAAUUCUGGCAAUAGCUGGUAUUAUAGCCAAUUUGUGAUUUAGCUGGCUAUUAUAGAAAGAAAAAUAAAAAUGAUAAAAAUGAUCUAAUUAAAGGUUAAUUGUUGGAUAGAAUUAAUUAUUUAGCUGGUUCGUUGUUACUUGAAGAGUAAAAUUUUAAAACAAAUGCAUACCUUGUAAGAACUUUUAAUGCAUAAUAAAAGUAUUUUCUAAUGUUCAUAAAAUACAUUUAAAUAUUAAUAGUUUUUACAGUAAUUUUACGUAUUAAAUAAUAAUAAUAAUAAUAAUUUUUAUACAGUAAACACAUCUUGAUUGAUUGAUAAAACACGUUAGUAAGAUAUUUAGUGAUGCACUUUCUCGAUAAUAAGAUUAUAAGAUAAAUUUCUCAAUAAUAAGAUUAUAAGAUAAAUUUCUCAUGAUGGAAUCGAACAUGUUUGGUUUACUAAUAAUAAUAUAUUAAUAACAGUCACCGGAAUGAACUAACUUUAAUUUCACUUUGAACCUAUUGUUAUAGAAUAAUAACUUAUUUUUGUCUUCAGAUGCUUGCUGGCAUAUAUGGUAAUUUAGAAUUAUUUUUACAUUUUAUAAAAUUUAGUUAUUUUUUCCCCCUUAUUUUGGGGUGAAAGUAGUUAUGUUAACAUGUUAGUGUGACUUACAUUAUUAAGGUGUCGAAUGGUAUCAGUGGUUUGUCAAAUGUUCAGGUAUGUCUCUUGGGAUUUUGUAGUCAUAUUAAAAUUAUUGCACGUUUAGAUUGUGGAUGACAAUUAAUCUUGAUUCGA